rnacentral:rRNA from 1 species
UGGGGAAUUUUGGACAAUGGGCGCAAGCCUGAUCCAGCCAUGCCGCGUGAGUGAAGAAGGCCUUCGGGUUGUAAAGCUCUUUCGGCGGGGACGAAACGGUUCGUGACAACACCACGGACUAAUGACGGUACCCGCAUAAGAAGCACCGGCUAACUACGUGCCAGCAGCCGCGGUAAUACGUAGGGUGCAGGCGUUAAUCGGAAUUACUGGGCGUAAAGCGUGCGCAGGCGGUUUGUUAAGACAGGUGUGAAAUCCCCGGGCUUAACCUGGGAAUUGCGCUUGUAACUGGCAGGCUAGAGUGUGGCAGAGGGGGUGGAAUUCCACGUGUAGCAGUGAAAUGCGUAGAUAUGUGGAGGAACACCGAUGGCGAAGGCAGCCCCCUGGGUUAACACUGACGCUCAUGCACGAAAGCGUGGGGAGCAAACAGGAUUAGAUACCCCGGUAGUCCCUGAGCGGGCUGGCAAGGCGC